rnacentral:ncRNA from 1 species
CAAGUAUUUGAUCAAAGUAUUACUUAAAUUGGCUGUUAAUUAAUAAUAUUAUGUAAAUUGUUGUGAGUUUGGUUUGUCUUAAGGAUAUUUUUCUAUUAUUUGCAGUUUUUAAUGGUAUACUAUUAAAGAAAUUUAGAUAUCGUUAAUUUAUUAAUGAUUAUAAAAAGUUGUGCCAGCAUAUGCGGUUAUACUUCUAAUUUAAGUCAAUUUUAUUAAGUAUACAUUUAUUUUUUAUUUUUGAAAAUAAUUUUUUUAUUAUUGGGUGAAAUUUUAUUAUUUAUUAUUUUUUGGUUUUAUUAUAUGUGAAAAUUAAUUUUUAAACUAGGAUUAGAUACCCUAUUAUAAUUAAUUGUAAUUUUAUCUUUGUUAUUAAUAGAUAAAUUCUUUAAAUCAAAAUGAUUUGGCGGUAAUUUAUUCUUUUUAGAGGAACCUGUCCUUUAAUUGAUAUUCCACGUUUUAUUUUACUUUUAUUUUGUUUGUAUAUCUCUGUCAUUAAGAAUGUUUUAUUAGAAUAUUUUCUUAAAUUAUUUGAUAAUUUAUGUCAAGUCAAGGUGCAGCUUUGUAAAAGUUUGAGAUGGGUUACUUUUAAUUUAUUUAUUGAAUUACUAUAAAGUAUUGUGGUAUGAAAUUGGAUUUAAAAGUAAAUUUAAUUUAAUAAUUAAAUUGAUUAUAGCUCUAAAUUAUGUACAUAUUGCCCGUCGCUCUCAUCUAUUUUAAAAUGAGAUAAGUCGUAACAAAGUAACUCUACCGGAAGGUGGAGUUAGGAGUG